CCUACGGGAGGCAGCAGUGGGGAAUAUUGGGCAAUGGCGGCAACUCUGACCCAGCCACGCCGCGUGAAUGAUGAAGGUCUUCGGCUUGUAAAGUUCUUUUCUACGGGAAGCAGAAAGUGACGGUACCUUAGGACUAAGCCUCGGCUAACUACGUGCCAGCAGCCGCGGUAAUACGUAGGAUGCGAGCGUUAUCCGGAUUUAUUGGGUUUAAGGGGUGCGUAGGCGGACAGUUAAGUCAGCGGUAAAAAUGCGGUGCUCAACGCCGUACAGCCGUUGAAUCUGGCAGUCUUGAGUGGGCGAGAAGUAUGCGGAAUGCGCAGUGUAGCGGUGAAAUGCAUAGAUAUCACGCAGAACUCCGAUUGCGAAGGCAGCAUACCGGCGCCCGACUGACGCCGAGGCACGAAAGCGUGGGUAUCGAACAGGAUUAGAUACCCGGGUAGUC
rnacentral:rRNA from 1 species